AGCGAACGCUGGCGGCGUGCCUAACACAUGCAAGUCGAACGUGAAAAGGGAAACCUGAGUAAAGUGGCGUACGGGUGAGUAACGCGUAGGUAAUCUACCCCAGAAUCUGGAAUAACCUGCCGAAAGGCGGGCUAAUACUGGAUAGAGCGAGGGAACUCGUAAGAGAGUUUUCCGGGAAAGGGAGCCCGCAAGGGCCUUCGUUCUGGGAUGAGCCUGCGUCUCAUUAGCUAGUUGGUAAGGUAACGGCUUACCAAGGCGAUGAUUAGUAGCUGGUCUGAGAGGAUGAUCAGCCACACUGGAACUGAAACACGGUCCAGACUCCUACGGGAGGCAGCAGUGGGGAAUCUUGCGCAAUGGACGAAAGUCUGACGCAGCCACGCCGCGUGAGUGAAGAAGGCCUUCGGGUUGUAAAGCUCUGUCGGAUGGGACGAACAUCUUCAUAGUGAAUAGCUAUGAGGACUGACGGUACCAUCAAAGGAAGCACCGGCUAACUCCGUG
rnacentral:rRNA from 1 species